rnacentral:rRNA from 1 species
UACGUAGGGUGCGAGCGUUAAUCGGAAUUACUGGGCGUAAAGCGUGCGCAGGCGGUUUUGUAAGUCUGUCGUGAAAUCCCCCGGGCUCAACCUGGGAAUUGCGAUGGAGACUGCAAGGCUAGAAUCUGGCAGAGGGGGGUAGAAUUCCACGUGUGAGCAGUGAAAUGCGUAGAGAUAGUGGAGGAACACCGAUGGCGAAGGCAGCCCCCUGGGUCAAG